rnacentral:rRNA from 1 species
ACACAUGCAGUCGAGCGGCAGCACGGGUACUUGUACCUGGUGGCGAGCGGCGGACGGGUGAGUAAUGCCUAGGAAUCUGCCUAGUAGUGGGGGAUAACGUCCGGAAACGGGCGCUAAUACAGCAUACGUCCUACGGGAGAAAGUGGGGGAUCUUCGGACCUCACGCUAUUAGAUGAGCCUAGGUCGGAUUAGCUAGUUGGUGAGGUAAUGGCUCACCAAGGCGACGAUCCGUAACUGGUCUGAGAGGAUGAUCAGUCACACUGGAACUGAGACACGGUCUAGACUCCUACGGGAGGCAGCAGUGGGGAAUAUUGGACAAUGGGCGAAAGCCUGAUCCAGCCAUGCCGCGUGUGUGAAGAAGGUCUUCGGAUUGUAAAGCACUUUAAGUUGGGAGGAAGGGCAGUUACCUAAUACGUGAUUGUUUUGACGUUACCGACAGAAUAAGCACCGGCUAACUCUGUGCCAGCAGCCGCGGUAAUACAGAGGGUGCAAGCGUUAAUCGGAAUUACUGGGCGUAAAGCGCGCGUAGGUGGUUUGUUAAGUUGGAUGUGAAAGCCCCGGGCUCAACCUGGGAACUGCAUCCAAAACUGGCAAGCUAGAGUAUGGUAGAGGGUGGUGGAAUUUCCUGUGUAGCGGUGAAAUGCGUAGAUAUAGGAAGGAACACCAGUGGCGAAAGCGACCACCUGGACUGAUACUGACACUGAGGUGCGAAAGCGUGGGGAGCAAACAGGA